UCCCCAUAAAUCGCCGUCGACCUGUGCUUCCGCUUCUGCCGACGCCGCCACCGCUUUGCAUCGCUCCGCUGGCGAUGGAGAGGAAGUUGACCCUCCUUCAGACCGUCCUAACGGCAGGCGUCUUCUCUUCCCUCACUUUCUGGUACGGAUUCAUGUUCGGGAGGGAAUCUGCUCGGAAGGAGCUCGGAGGCCUGAUCGACGAUCUCCGGCGCAGCAAUGCCGCGGCCUCGGACGACACGACGACGGACGCUCGGGAUCAGAGGUCUCUCUGAGGUACUUUGGCCAUGCUGGAUUUGAGUACAAUUGGCCCCUUUUCCCUUCAUUUGAAGGAACAUGUGAUUUUAUUGGAAGCAGAGGUCUUCUUGUUCAAGAUUGAGUCUGGUGGAAAAUGAUUCUCGAUAAUUUUUUUUUUUUGUAUUUUGGUAGUUCUUGGUGUUUUUGAAUUGCAUUUUGGUAUUAAUAUUUACUUAUUCACUGCUUUUCUCUGAAAUUUUGGAGAAAUUUCACGAUCAUAUAGCAAAA